GGCCGUGUGGCGCAACGGUAGCGCGUUACUUUCCGGUUUCUAACUUCUGAAAUAAUUCUCUCAAAGUUGAUAAUUUCUCGAUUGGUAAAGGCUCUGGGUUCGAGUCCCAGCAUGGUCG